rnacentral:lncRNA from 1 species
ACGUUCACACUUGCAGCUUUUGAUAUAUCGUGUGCUAUAGUGUGGUCUAGUAUCUUGUGACGUCCACCUACUUGUCGUGUGAUAUAGCUCAAGUAAGUUUGUGUAACUUACUUGUGCUUGUUAGUAACCGUGUUGUGUUCAUCUUGGUAGAUCGUGUUGUUGGUGCACGUUGCGGUGCCUAUUGCAUUUAGGAUUUGUGCUUGAAAAGUAUCCUCUUAGUUUAUUUCCACAUUAGGUUUAAGCCAAAUCCGAAGAAGUUUUUAAAUAGCCUAUUCACCCCCUCUAGGCGUCAUCGUGGUCCUUUCAAUUGGUAUCAGAGCAAGGUCUCUCUUUAAUUAGGUUUCACGACCUAGAGAGUAUCGAUGUCGACUAUUGGAUUAGUGCACAAUGACACCUUUGACUUUGAUGGCACAAAUUAUACCCUAUGGAGAAUUCGUAUGCUUCAUCACUUUCGGGCCAUGGGCCCAAAUACUUUACGAAUUGUUCUUGUAGGGAUUUCCGACAAAAAAGAUGAUGCAUCUUCAUGUACUAAUGAAAUGUAUCUUGAUUGUGAGGCUUUUCUUGCUAUUCAUCGAACCAUAAGUCCUGAAGUGUUUAAGUUUAUCUCGACUUGCAAGUCAGCUCAUGAAGUUUGGACUAAACUUGAAGAUGUAUAUGGUGGGUCCAAUCUCGAUGAAGACGAUAUUAUGAUGAAGGAGUUGGUGC